AAGGGGCGGAGCCGCGUCCGGGCUGCGGUUGGGGAAGCGCCGUCCCUCGGAGGGGCGUGUUGAGGGUUUCGCGGGCUUGAGCGGGGGAUUGGGGGGGAGAAGGGGGCGUUAAAGGCUUGCACCGCGCCCACAGGAAGCUGCUUUAAUGGCUGGGCUUCCUUGGCAGCGGGCUCGCGACAGGGCAGGACCUUGAAGACCACGCGGUUCAACUUCCAGUUUGCAGAUGUGGGAACGGAAGCCCAGAGAGGGUAUGCCACCGGUGCAAGGUUACACAGCUGCUUAGUGGCCUGCUCGGGACUGGACUCCCGCGCUCCGGACUGCCCUUGGCCUUGCACUCAGCUUCCCCCUUCGAGGAGGAAACGGGACAGGGAGAAUGUUUGAAGAAGGAUGUAAGGGCCGGGACCCUGAGCACCGGCACAACCACACCUCUAUGAACGAUUUUCCGAACUCAGGAAACUACUGGAGGAUGUGGUGCACCAAAACGAGAGAAUAAACUAAGAAGCAGGAAGACAUGUGGUCCUAGAAACAGGAUAUUCAACAUAGCAGUGAGGUUCGGUCAUCAAAUUAAUGGUGCAAGUGCAGGAGUGGAAGUGACACAGUUGCUCAGGCUCGCACGGCAGGUGUUCAGUAGUGUUGGAACCAGGAGCCCAAUAAUGAAAGCUACAGCUGACAGAUGCCAGCAAUAGAAUCACAGGAGCAGUCAGAGCUUUACAAACGUCAGUGACAACCAAACUGACUUUCCUUCCUGCACUACCAUCAACCAAGUUUGCCAUCAAACGCUCAGGUGGGACCACCAAUCCUUUGAUUUGGUUUCCCGGGGAAAGCCGUUGUCUGGCUCAGUGUUUUAACAUUAGGUUCUCCUGUCUUUUACUCUUGCAUUUGAACCCAAACACCUUGACCACUUGGCAUGUGUCAGGGUUGGUACAAGAAGGCACAGUCCAUCUUGGUUGGGUGUUUUGCACUGUGCAAAAGAUAGUUUUAUAAAAAACAAAGCUAAAACAACUCUGAGGUCCUAAAACUAAUAUGUAAGUGAGAGGAGAUUCAGUUCUCAUCAGGUGUUGUUGUUCAGUCAAAAAUGUCGCUAAGCACAGAUACAGCGGGAUAAAUGUAUUACCCAGUACUGCUUCUUAUGAUUUGCUGAGAAGAAAAAUCACUAACCCUACCAAUGUGGCUCCAGCUCUUCCUCAUAACAUCCUAGGACCUUUCUGGGUAAUAGAAUAGAAAGGGUUUAUUUAAAGCUGUAGAACUCCUCUUAUAACCCCCAAAUUGCAUACUACACAAAGAUACAUUCUUUUUUUU